rnacentral:rRNA from 1 species
GAUGAACGCUAGCGGGAGGCCUAACACAUGCAAGCCGAGCGGUAUUUGUUCUUCGGAACAGAGAGAGCGGCGCACGGGUGCGGAACACGUGUGCAACCUGCCUUUAUCUGGGGGAUAGCCUUUCGAAAGGAAGAUUAAUACCCCAUAAUAUAUUGAGUGGCAUCACUUGAUAUUGAAAACUCCGGUGGAUAGAGAUGGGCACGCGCAAGAUUAGAUAGUUGGUGAGGUAACGGCUCACCAAGUCAAUGAUCUUUAGGGGGCCUGAGAGGGUGAUCCCCCACACUGGUACUGAGACACGGACCAGACUCCUACGGGAGGCAGCAGUGAGGAAUAUUGGACAAUGGGUUAGCGCCUGAUCCAGCCACCCCGCGUGAAGGACGACGGCCCUAUGGGUUGUAAACUUCUUUUGUAUAGGGAUAAACCUACUCUCGUGAGAGUAGCUGAAGGUACUAUACGAAUAAGCACCGGCUAACUCCGUG